AUAUAAUUUUAUAUAAUAUUUUCUCACUACUGAGGUGAAAAGUUGUAUGUGUAACACGAGAGCAAAGUUAUUUUACAUCUCGUGUUUUUAAUCACUCGCUUCGCUCGUGAUUCAAUGAUAGAAUCUUUCGCUUACUCGGGACUCAAAAUAAACACUCGCAAGAAAAACCAACUUUCCUCUCUUGUUGCACAAA